CGCAAGACGAAUGCCUCGCAAGACGGAAAAACUGCUAGACGAAAGGGUUUUCCGUUUUGGAGUUGCUUCGCAGGACGAAUUCCCCUAUGGGCUUGCUUCGCAAGAUGAAAAUACCUUGCGAGUCUUGAGAUUUUUUUUUCGCUUUCCCCCCCCUUUAUCUAAUCUGCUAAGCCUUUAAUAGCCUUUAAUAGCCUUUUAGCAGCUAAUCCCCUAAGCCUUUAAGCCU